rnacentral:lncRNA from 1 species
GGACAGAAAAGGGGGAAGAAAGAAAAAUUCUCUCCUUAACUCACUCUCGACUCCUCACUCUCACCCUCUCUCGGCUAGAACAGAAAAGAAGCAGACGAAAAAAUUCCCUCUCCCUGUGCUCUUUGGCUCCCUCAAUUCACUCUCUCCCUCUCUGAACUUCCAGAGAGCAAAAAGAAGCAGAAGAAGAAAUUUGCAAGAGAGGCCCUCACUCCUCUUUCUCUCGGCUAAAACAGAAAAGAAUCAGAUGAAAAAAUUCCCUCUCCUUCUGCUCUUUGUCUCCCUCAAUUCACUCUCUCUCUCUCUCUGGACUUCCAGAGAGCAAAAGAAGCAUAAGAAGAUAAAAUUGCAAGAGACACCCUCAUUUGCUCUCUCUCUCAGGCCUCGGUGCAGAAGGGCAAGGCCAAUAAAAACGGUUGAAGGCUCGGAAUUUCAUCAAAUUCUUAGGAAAAGGGAUUAAUGCUAUCAUAGAGGUAUCUCCCUUUAUUUUAAUUUCUUUUUUCCAGUUUUUUUGAUUAAUUACAUUGUAAGCAUAUUUAGUUGCUAGUUUGUGUUUUUCUAUUGCUUUUUUCAUUAUUAUUAUUAUUAUUGUCAUUUUAGGGGACUUGUUUUGAUUUAAUUUUGCCAUAUUUGUUGUUGCUUUUUUGAUUUCAGUUUAUAGUUAUGUUGUGAAAAUCACAAUGAGUGUUGUAGUAUAAAUUUUAUGAUUUUUGGUGAAGAUUUGAGUGUUUUAAAAAAUAAAAAUUGCCACUGUAAUUUGGCAAUUUCGCCACUUUUGAUUUAUUUUUUGUAAAAAAUAACUCCGAAAAUGGAAUCUACACGAAAAAUCAAGUGGAGUGUGUAUUUUGAUGAAAUUUUGUAACCGAAAAUUUGCCGGCGGUAGCGUUGCGGGAAGCCGCCAUGGCCACCAGCUGUGAAGAGUUUCGGAUUGUGAAGAAGAAGAAAGCUUUUUCGUACAGGCUGCAUGUUCCAAAAUUGCAUUUUGCACUCAAAUUUUUUAAUUAAUUUCACUAUAGCCCAAACACUUUUGCAAUUGAUUCCAUUUCGCCCUUUUAAAUUUUAAUAAUUUUUUAAUUUUUCUUAAGUAGUUUUUGGUAGAUUGAUUCGGGAUUUUAGAUCAUAAUUGUGGUUUAAGAAUUUUAGUUGAUUUGUUUAUCUUGUUGGGUUUAGUAUUAUGGUUUAGGUUUUUGGGUAAUAAUAUUGGUUGGGUUCGUAAGAGUAGGUUUGGUUUAUUUGUUUUGGGUUUUUAAUUGGGCUUUGGUCACUUGUUUUUUGGGUUUUACGUAUGGGCUUGGGAGUUGAAGCCCAUGCAUUUUGGUUGGGUUGUUUGACAAAAAUAUAGGCUAGCCCGUCCCUUAUUCUUGAAGCUUUCCGGUGGGCUUAAGGCAUCCGGGCCCAAAGAAGUCUUGAAAAUAGCCCAAUGGCUCGUUUGGCCAGGGAAUCUGAUUACAAAAUUUCACUUUAGCCCCUAAUCUUUGGAGUAAUUUCACUACAGCCUAGAAUAUUUUAAAUUUCUUUCACUUAGCUCCCUAAAUUAAUUGUGCUUUGGUCCUUGAGCUUUAUCUUUCAUUUAAUUUUGCCCCUAAUCUUUGAAAAAGGAAUUUUUACCCCAAAAGUUUUAUUAAAAUUUUUUGCAAUUCAGCCCCUAGUGAAUUUUGAUUCUUUUUAUUAU